AAGUCGUAACAAGGUAUCCGUAGGUGAACCUGCGGAUGGAUCAUUAUGGUAGGGUAUUAGAUGGGGAGAGCAGUAUACAAUGGGGGGUGUUUGGCGAGGCUGAGAGGCUAGAUCUUAGGGUUUGGCUCUUUGUCUCGCCUGCCCCAAUCAUAUACCAUACCACUUAAUCAUAUAUACAAAAAAUUACAACUUUCAGCAACGGAUCUCUUGGCUCUC
rnacentral:misc_RNA from 1 species